rnacentral:lncRNA from 1 species
CUUUGUAGGGUAAGACUAUAAAGGGAUAGCCUGAGGGAAUCGCUAGGGGCAAUAGAACUGUUCUAGAUCCUGAUUUUGGUGCUGUUUACACAAAGAUAUACAUGUUGAAAAUCAUAAACUUUUUUUUUGUCUUGCUGUGACAUUAGCUUUAAAAUGUUUCCUUGCGAUUCCUUCAAAACAGGUCUUAAAAAUAAAUCAAGAAGUACUUACUGAGUAUAUUGUUCAAGGCAUAGUUCUACAUGCUGAGGAAAAUAAAGACAUGCAGAAGAUAUGCUUCUGCCCUGAAGGAGUUUAUUUUCUAAUAAGAUAGAGACAGACAGCACAAAUAACAGCAGUCAGGUAAACUGUAAUCCUCUCUUAAGGGAGAUACAGGUAAAAUGCUACUUUGUGCUAGGAAUAUGUAGGAGGAUAAUUCUUCAUUGAAGAUAAGGCUCUUAAGCUGAGUCCUAGAAAGUACAUUGAUUUUUGGCAGUCAAAAAUAGAGACAAAGGACGUUCCAAAGAGAAGGAAAAAGAGCAUGCUUUAUAGAGUUAUGUUUUCCUAUUACAGCACAUAAAAACUUUGAAGCUACACUUCAUGAAUACUUACAUCCUAUUGUAUUCAAUUUUGUACUCCAAAACUCCCUUAAAGUGUUUUGGUCUGAUGCUCAAACCUCUGAACAAGUAGUAUGGCUUUGGAUUUAAUAAUUUAGGUCAUUUUUUUAUUCUGAUUUUAAUGGCUGUGUGGAGAGUGAGCUAUUCCUAAGUCUUAAUGUAGUCACCACAGAUAGCAAAUAUAUACAUGAAAAGCCUGAUAUUUAUGUAAAAUUUUCUGUUUACAGAGUGAAUUUGAGUAAAUAGAGUUGUCAGAAUGUAUAAUCUUAUCAAAUAUUUCUGUAAUACUUCACCAAAUUACUUUCCUCUGAUUUGUCCUAAUUAGGUGAAUGAAUCAACUCUACUUAAAAGCAACAAUAAUCUCCUUUUUUUCAUAGGUUUUCUGUGAAGACCCUGAUUGAUCGAUCCUGCUUUGAGACAAUUGAUGAUUCUUCUCCUGAAUUUAAUAAUUUUGCAGCUAUUUUGGAACAGAUUCUAAGUCACCGGCUAAAAGAGAUGUCCCAAAGUUGCAGAUGGCUGGCUCAUCUCCAAAUACCUCUUCAAGGUACUCUAUGCUGGUGAUGUCUCCCGCCACUGAGCUGCACGGGAGCAUGGAAUUGACUUACUGGGGAGGGCUGUAUCAGUUAAGUGAUCUUUUUUAGUACAUUGCAUGGGUUUUGCAAAGCUUUCUGUUUUUUUGUUGUUGUUGUUAAUUUGGAGGGCACAGCAAUGCUUAUGCUGAUUUUCAAAUUAAAACCUUUUUGUAAACCCACACAAUAUAAUAAUCCAUUUACUCUCCUUCUCCUGUGUGGCCCCCUUCAUAUUUCUAUGAAGUUCCAUGGUUUAAAAAAAAUUUGGUCAUGUGUAUCUGUGUUAUUUAUGCUUUAUUAUAACUGAAGAGUGUAAGAUUUAUUGGUUAUUUUUUCAAUUUUCUAAGUGCUGUGUAGUAAUGUUUGUAAUCAUGAAAACUGGGACUCAGGGAAGUUGUGUGAGUUUUACAAAGUCGCUCUGUAAAACAUUCAUGGGCACUGUCAACAGUAACUGCUUUACCAUUCUUAAGCCACUGGUGGGAAUAUAUUCCUUAGUUUCCUUUCUUCUAGAUAGAAUACAUGUACUAAUGACAUAGGCUUUUAUUAUAUUUUUUUACUUUAGAAAGAAAUUACGUAGUCAUUAUUUUAAAGAUAACAGUAAGAAAGGAUAGAAAGUAGAAAACAAAUGUCUUCUUAUCUCCUCAGUGCUAAUUCCCACAAUCACUUUAAACAAUUUCUUUUGUUUAUAUCUCCUUGUAUAGCCGUAAUCACUACUGAACACAUUAUGCUUGAUAUCUUCAGGCUGCACAUUUCUCUGUGGACUUCCACCUUCGGUACUCUAGUUCAGUCUACCUCUAUUCUAAACUGGUGGAAGGAAAAACACAACCUUUGUACUCUACUUGAAAAGAUGGUAAAAUUACUGGAAUAAAAAAGCCUAUUAAGUUAAAUUCAUGUUUCAUGUUUUUGAUGAACCUGGUUAUCUUAAUUUUUCUUUGUUUUGAAAGAUUAAGAAUUGACUACUUUAUGGUAUAGAUAUGUACUUUAGAUGUUUGGGAUGUGUUCCUUUCUAGUGAACAAGAUGUUAAUUGUCAAUACCAAAUGAUGAUAACCACAUUUUAUAGAUUAGUGACCGUGAUUCGUAGUUGCUAAAUGAUUUACUUAAGGUAGCUUCUAAUAUCCUGUAUGUACAUAGCUAACAUGCAGAGCUAGUACUAUAAGUACCAUUGAGUAUCUAAUCUGUACUCAGACUUCAGCGUCAGCUUAAAGUGUAAUUGAAUUUAUUUUUUAAAGUGUUUAAAUUUUUCUUUUUUUAGAACAUUGUCAUGAGAUUUUAUUUAGAAAAUUAAUCAGUGUCAUAAUUUUACUUUUUUUUGAAGUGGGGGUCACACCCAUGGCAUGUAGAAGUUCCCAGGCCAGGGACUGAACCUGUGCCACAGAAGUGACCCAAGCUGCUUCAGUGACAAGACCAGAUCCUUAAUCCACUGUGCUACAAGAGAACUCUUCAUAAUUUUACUUUAAAGCUAGGUGGUAUAAUAAAUGUGAACUUAACUAAUAAUAGAGCUUUUUUUUAAAGGAAAAUAUUCCGACCUCUUACAUAAAUGGGAAUUUUCUCUAUUUAGUAAAAAGAUAGUAGAAAAUAUUAAACUGAUUUUUAUAAAUUAGCAUUGAUAAAAUUAGGAUUGCUGCUACAAAAUUUAAAGUAAAAAGUUAGGAGUUCCCUGGUAGCCUUUUGGUUAAAGAUCUGACAUCACUGCUGUGGCUCUGUUUCAAUCCCUGUCCUGGCUACUUCUACACACCACAGGCACAGCCAAAAUAAAAUAAAAUACAGUGAAAAGUUAAAAGUUAAGUAUCUAAAUAUUACUGUAUUGGCAACAAUAAAUCCACAAGUAGGAGUUCCCACUGUGGUGCAACGGGAUUGGCGGCCUCUUGGAAGCACUGGGUGUCGGGUUUGAUGCCUGGCCAGCACAUAGGUUAAGGAUCUGCAGUUGUCACAGCCGUGGCUCAGUCUGAUCACUGGCCUGGGAACUCCAAUGUUGUGGGGCAGCCAAAAAUGAAAAUAAAUGAAUAAAUAAAUAAACACCAUUUUAAAAAAUCCACAGGUAACCAGUUUCCUUUAAGUAUCUGAAACUUUUGCAGUGAUGUUAAGAGUGGCUUAUUAAAAUUUGAUGGGACUAUCUUUUAUUGAUUGUCCAGAUGAAUGGAAGCUGCAAGAUAAUUGCCUUUGAUAUUGUCAUCUAGGUGAUAUAUUGUAACACAAAGAGAAAUUCAGCUUGUGAGACUAAUCUUUUCGUUGGCUCUUUACAUAGCUAAGUACUAAUACAAAGUGUGGAAAAAGAAAGUCGCUUAAUAGAUUAAUUUACAUUUUAUAUUAUCAAAAGAUGAUGUGUCAUUAACCACUAGCAAAUAGAGAAUCAUUUUGGAAAUUUUAGUUCUUGUUUUUAGAAGAUCUCAUUCUGGCCAUAAAAUAAGAUAUAAGCAAAACACAAACGUAUUGCAUGAUGUGAAUAGGUGUUUAACUUAAAUAAUAUAGAAGAAAAAAAA